UUUGAGUGAAUCACGGCUAAGGAACUAGGCAAAAUAGACCUGUAACUUAGGGAGAAAGGUCGCCCUUCUAAUUUUAGUAAGAUAAUUUUAAGGCCGCAGUGAAGAGAUCCAGACGACUGUUUAACAAAAACAUAGGGCUCUGCUAAAUCGAAAGAUGAUGUAUAGGGUCUGAUACCUGCCCAGCGUUGGAAGGUUAAGGAAGUAAGUUAACUAUUGUGAAGCCUUCGACUGAAGCCCCAGCAAACGGCGGCUGUAACUAUAACGGUCCUAAGGUAGCGAAAUUCCUUGUCAGGUAAGUUCUGACCUGCACGAAUGGUUUAACGAUCUGGAUACUGUCUCGGCCGUGAGC
rnacentral:rRNA from 1 species